ensembl:snoRNA LOC120097593 small nucleolar RNA SNORA48
ACUCCCUGGCAAUGGGCAGUGGGCACCUGGUUGGUGGUGUUGUUCUUACAUCAGUCAGGGGCAGAGCAGAUGGCCGGCCUUGGUUCAUCCUAGCUUGAUGCCUGGCUUGGUGGCCAAAGAUGUUUCAUGCCUAGGGCACAUGC